rnacentral:lncRNA from 1 species
GUGUUCUCCUAUAGAUAAUCCAUAUUUUUUUUCUUGCAUGUUGAAUUUACAAACUUUUUUUGUUUUGUUUUUAGUGUCCUCCAGUGUCAUUACUGUGUGUCCAAGUGUCUCUACCUCGAUUGGGGUCAGUCAUCCUGAAGUCAGCAAAGAACAUUGGUGCCUACUGUGAAUACUUCAGACUAGACAAGAAGACGCAAUCCAGUGUGCCUGUCCCUGCAUGUGAUGGUGUAAAAGUCAGGGUGAGAUGUCAAUAUAAUACCAAGUUUUAAACCUAACUAAGGGUCUAUAAAGGCUGUUAGCAGCAAACCUUUUUUAUUCUAAAGGAAUAGG